AAUUAACAGGAGAAAAAGCAAACAAAUUUAUUUGAUCAUAAUUGUAUGUGAGCCCUCAGAAUGAAGACCCCAAGAUACAGGGGAAUUGUCCAUUUUUAUGUUUAGGUUCAACAGAUUAUGGACUGUGUAGAAAUAUGAUUGGACAAGAAGGGUAUGAUCUAAUAGUAAUAGACUGAGAGGGGAAACCCAGCAAGGCUGUCUAGAUUCUUCUUGGCCUCUCUGUGCAGGAUUCCUUCCUUCUGGGCACGGGGUGGGACCCUCUCUGGAAUGGGUAUCUUACGACAGUCAAACACGGUAGGUCAGAUCAUUUCUUUCCAACCAGUUUUUACACAGAAAGGGGAAUGGGGAGUGAGAGGACUAUUUUUAGGUUUUAUGGCUGGCUUUGGGUAAAACCGGUUCUGGUUUCUGAUGACCUGCCUUGGGGAAGAGGGAUUCUAGUUUCUAUGGGUAGCCUUGGGGGAGAAUGAAAAGCCAGAAACAAGAGGGCAGGAGAAGGUCAGAGAGAAACUUUUGCUUCUGGGGCUGCUUCUGAGGCCUUCCUUUUAAAGUUAUCAGAGAUGAUCAGGGGCAUCCUGGCUCCAGGUAAGGUCUCCUGACGUGAGUGUGCUGGUCUUCCACACUGGAUGCCGAGCCUUUUAAAGGGUGGUUUUCAACCUUGGCUGCAUAUUGGAAUCACUCCAGGAGCUUUAAGAAAUAUUGUUGGCCUGGUGCUGUGGCUCAUGUCUGUAAUCCCUGAGCUUUGGAAGGUGGGAGGAUAUCACUUGAGCCCAGAAGUUAAGGCAGCAGUGAGCCAUGAUUGCAUUACUGCACUCUAGCCUAGGUGACAAGCAAGAUUCUAUCUAAAAAAAAAAAAAAAAAAGUUGCUUGGGGCCUACCCCAGAGAUUCUGAUUUAAUAAUUUUUACACUGCACCCCGCCCCCAACCCCCGCACCAGGUGAUUCUACUGUGUAUCCGAGAUUGAGAACCACCAGCUUUACAGCAAGGACAUUUUCUUACGUUCUUUGAAUUUUCUUGCAUUUCUUUGCAUGUGGAUUCUCAGUUUAUCAAAUAAAUAAAAAGGAAACCUGCAAAUGCUUGUCAAAGGCUGCUGAAACUUCAAGUCCAAAGCCCACAGAGAUUAAUGACUUUAAUCUGUAUAGUCCUUUAGAACCAUGCUUCUCAAAGUGUGACCCAUGGACCAGCAGAACAUCAAGAUCACCUGGAACCUGUUAGAAAUGCAGAGGCUGGCCACGUGUGGUGGCUUACACCUGUAAUCUAAACACUUUGGGAGGCCAGGAGUUUGAGACCAGCCUGGGCAAUACAGGGAGACCCCCAUCCCUACAAAAAUAAAAUCUGUUGGGUACGGUGGCAUCCACCUGUAAGCCCAGUAACUUGGUAGGCUGAGCCAGAACAGCUUGCAGCCAGUUUGCAGCUGCAGUGAGCCAUGACUGGGGCCACUAAUUACACUCUAGCCUAGGUGACAGAGCAAGACCCUGUACAUAAAGAAAAAAAAAAAGCAGAAACUCAGGCCCACCCAGACUGCCCACUGGAAUCUUGAGAGCUGCAAAUCAUUGAUUUUCAGCACAAACAAUUUUGCUCACCCCGGACACGGAGAGACUUGAACAAACACUAGCAUAGUUUCUAGCAGCUCAAGGCCCUGUCUCAGGGAUAACCCAGGCCCCUUUGGGUCCCUGCCUGGGGAAGCUCAAGGCUGCCAAAAGAAUUUACCAUUUGUUUCAGCCAAUGCCUGAUCAUAGGUUUCUAAUCUCCCUCGUUUUUCUUGAGAUGGAGUCACACUCUGUCACCCAGGCUGAAGUGCAGUGGCGUGAUCCCGGCUCACUGCACCCUCCGCCUCCUGGGUUCAAGCGAUUCUCCUGCCUCAGCCACCCGAGUAGCUGGGAUUACAGGUGCGCGCCACCACAACAGGCUAACUUUUGUAUUUUUAGUAGAGACAGGGUUUCACCAUGUUGGCCAGGCUGCUCUUGAACUCCUGACCUCAGGUGAUGCACCCACCUUGGCCACCCAAAGUGCUGGGAUUAUAGGCAUGAGCCAUGGCACCCAGUCCCUCCCUCUUCUUAGAGGACAUACUUUAUAAAAUUUACAAUUGUAAAUCCUUUCUGUCCCUUUGGGGGAUAUAUGUAUCUUCUGCUGCACAGGAAUGUGUUUCUCACUUUUUCUGGGAGCCAUCCCUUUGUCAUAUAAUUAUCAGGAAUGAUAAGGCCGACUCCUGGUCUCUGUGGGAGGCUAGGAUCCUAACUUUGAUAAAUAAAUUUGAGAGUUAGUAGACACAGAUAGCCGAAUCACAUUGACCAAUCUCCUUACCAGCUUUUUGUAAUUUUGCACUUCCCUAGUUCUAUUUGAACCUCCUCCCUCCCCUCUUUAAAAUUCCAUCACCUCUGCACAGAUUGGAGCUAAGCUCAGUUCUAUACUGAGGACUCUCUCCUUCUGCAGUAGUUAUUGAGUAAAAUCUGUCAUUAUUGCCUUUAGCGUCCAGCUUUUUAAGUCUCCAUUUUAAUAAGGUCCUUAUGUGAUGUGCAUGUACAUUACAGUCUGAGAAGCAGUGUCAUAAUAUUUAUCAUUCCCUCAGUGACUUAUCAUAAACAGCCCUGAAUGGGAAGGAAUCACGCCCAUUUUGCCAGUGAGGACCCAGGGGAAAAAAGUUGGUGAGAGCUCACAAAAAACCAAACAUGUUUCUCUUGAUGCAUCUCCAUUGGUGCAAUGUCCUCUCAGGUUUUUUUUUUUGAUAUGGAGUUUCGCUCUUGUUGCCCAAGCUGGAGUGCAGUGGCACGAUCUCGGCUCACUGCAACCUCUGCCUCCUGGGUUCAAGCGAUUCUCCUGCCUCAGCCUCCCAAGUAGCUGGGAUUACAGGCAUGUACCACCCCGUCUGUCUAAUAUUUUGUAUUUUUAGUAGAGAUGGGGUUUCACCAUGCUGGCCAGGCUGGUCUCGAACUCCUGACCUCAAGUGAUCCUUCUACCUCGACUUCCCAAAGUGCUAGGAUUACAGGCGUGAGCCACCACACCUGACCUCAGGUUCUUCUUUAGUUGCAAGAGAACUGUUUCACCAUCAAGUGUCUUAGGUAUUAAAGUUCUAAGUUUAGGUACUGAGUUAUCCUAUCAGUAGCUGGAGUCCCAAGGAUGACAGGUACCAACCCUGUGCAAGUACCAAAGGCUAUGGCCUCAAAUGCUGCAGAAGCCCAGCCCUUUAAGGGCCCAUGCAUACCCCAUGCAACCACUGCUACAUGAAGUCAGGUGCAGGCAUGGUCUUAGUGGGUCUUAGUCCCGAACCACUCAACCCUAACUCACUCUGCAUACUCAAUCCCGAUGCUCUCCUACUUUCCCAGCUUUACCUCCAACAUCAGUAUCCAUUCUUGCUUUCCUGGGUAAACACUGAUUCCUUUCUCCUCCUGGCUGGGCCAGUCCCCUGGGUAAACACUAUUUCCUAUUUCCACCCCCACCUUUCUACUCCUGGGCCAGUUUGAUGCCUUGAGUAGACUCCCUGUGGCCGAGCUCCCUGGUAGGUCUUGAUGAUGUCACUCAAACUUACACGACAAAAUUCAAACAAAAAAGAUAAAGUUAUAUUUCAUCAUCUCUAUGUCCUUUCUUCUGAUUUGCCAAAUUAGGCUAAAAGACCAAUAGAAAAACAGCUACCAAUUUUAAACACCAAAGUCAUUCCUCUAGGAAAGACAGCAAAAUUACUAACGUGAAUGACAGGAUGAAUUUUUCCUGGUCAUUUUCAAACCACUUAGAUAGCUAGAACCAGAGGAAUCCCCCGAGGCACUUUACCCCUCAGCCAUGGAGAAUGCUGACUUUUUUUACUUUCAGCCAAUUAUAUGGUAAAUAUAAUUAUUAGUUUUAUCAGAAAAUCUUAUACAUACAGGUGAUUUCUGAUGCAUAAUUUUAUUAAAGCCAGAGAUGGACAUUUUUUCUAGAGAAACAGAUCUCUGAGGUUAGAAUGGAAGAUAAUGAAACAAGAGAUUUCACUUUAUAAUUUACCUUUGUCAAACUAUCCCAGAGCAUGUCAAUUCUAUUAUGAAA
rnacentral:lncRNA from 10 species